rnacentral:rRNA from 1 species
UUGCCUAGUUACCAGCACGUUAUGGUGGGCACUCUAAGGAGACUGCCGGUGACAAACCGGAGGAAGGUGGGGAUGACGUCAAGUCAUCAUGGCCCUUACGGCCUGGGCUACACACGUGCUACAAUGGUCGGUACAAAGGGUUGCCAAGCCGCGAGGUGGAGCUAAUACCCAUAAAACCGAUCGUAGUCCGGAUCGCAGUCUGCAACUCGACUGCGUGAAGUCGGAAUCGCUAGUAAUCGUGAAUCAGAAUGUCACGGUGAAUACGUUCCCGGGCCUU